rnacentral:rRNA from 1 species
UACAGAGACUGCAAGCGUUAUUCGGAUUCACUGGGCGUAAAGGGUGCGCAGGCGGCCAAGUGUGUGAGGCGUGAAAGCCCGGGGCUUAACCCCGGAAUUGCACCUCAAACUACAUGGCUAGAGCAUUGGAGAGGGUAGCAGAAUUCCAGGUGUAGCGGUGAAAUGCGUAGAUAUCUGGAGGAACACCGGUGGCGAAGGCGGCAUCCUGGACCGACACUGACGCUGAGGCGCGAAAGCUAGGGUAGCAAACGGG